rnacentral:rRNA from 1 species
CGUUGGGGAGCUGUAAGUAAGCUUUGAUCCAGAGAUUUCCGAAUGGGGAAACCCAGCAUGAGUUAUGUCAUGUUAUCGAUAUGUGAAUACAUAGCAUAUCAGAAGGCACACCCGGAGAACUGAAACAUCUUAGUACCCGGAGGAAGAGAAAGAAAAUUCGAUUCCCUUAGUAGCGGCGAGCGAAACGGGAAGAGCCCAAACCAACAAGCUUGCUUGUUGGGGUUGUAGGACACUCUAUACGGAGUUACAAAGGACGACAUUAGACGAAUCAUCUGGAAAGAUGAAUCAAAGAAGGUAAUAAUCCUGUAGUCGAAAAUGUUGUCUCUCUUGAGUGGAUCCUGAGUACGACGGAGCACGUGAAAUUCCGUCGGAAUCUGGGAGGACCAUCUCCUAAGGCUAAAUACUCUCUAGUGACCGAUAGUGAACCAGUACCGUGAGGGAAAGGUGAAAAGCACCCCGGAAGGGGAGUGAAAUAGAACCUGAAACCGUGUGCUUACAAGUAGUCAGAGCCCGUUAAUGGGUGAUGGCGUGCCUUUUGUAGAAUGAACCGGCGAGUUACGAUUUGAUGCAAGGUUAAGCAGUAAAUGUGGAGCCGUAGCGAAAGCGAGUCUGAAUAGGGCGUUUAGUAUUUGGUCGUAGACCCGAAACCAGGUGAUCUACCCUUGGUCAGGUUGAAGUUCAGGUAACACUGAAUGGAGGACCGAACCGACUUACGUUGAAAAGUGAGCGGAUGAACUGAGGGUAGCGGAGAAAUUCCAAUCGAACCUGGAGAUAGCUGGUUCUCUCCGAAAUAGCUUUAGGGCUAGCCUCAAGUGAUGAUUAUUGGAGGUAGAGCACUGUUUGGACGAGGGGCCCCUCUCGGGUUACCGAAUUCAGACAAACUCCGAAUGCCAAUUAAUUUAACUUGGGAGUCAGAACAUGGGUGAUAAGGUCCGUGUUCGAAAGGGAAACAGCCCAGACCACCAGCUAAGGUCCCAAAAUAUAUGUUAAGUGGAAAAGGAUGUGGCGUUGCCCAGACAACUAGGAUGUUGGCUUAGAAGCAGCCAUCAUUUAAAGAGUGCGUAAUAGCUCACUAGUCGAGUGACACUGCGCCGAAAAUGUACCGGGGCUAAACAUAUUACCGAAGCUGUGGAUUGUCCUUUGGACAAUGGUAGGAGAGCGUUCUAAGGGCGUUGAAGCAUGAUCGUAAGGACAUGUGGAGCGCUUAGAAGUGAGAAUGCCGGUGUGAGUAGCGAAAGACGGGUGAGAAUCCCGUCCACCGAUUGACUAAGGUUUCCAGAGGAAGGCUCGUCCGCUCUGGGUUAGUCGGGUCCUAAGCUGAGGCCGACAGGCGUAGGCGAUGGAUAACAGGUUGAUAUUCCUGUACCACCUAUAAUCGUUUUAAUCGAUGGGGGGACGCAGUAGGAUAGGCGAAGCGUGCGAUUGGAUUGCACGUCUAAGCAGUAAGGCUGAGUAUUAGGCAAAUCCGGUACUCGUUAAGGCUGAGCUGUGAUGGGGAGAAGACAUUGUGUCUUCGAGUCGUUGAUUUCACACUGCCGAGAAAAGCCUCUAGAUAGAAAAUAGGUGCCCGUACCGCAAACCGACACAGGUAGUCAAGAUGAGAAUUCUAAGGUGAGCGAGCGAACUCUCGUUAAGGAACUCGGCAAAAUGACCCCGUAACUUCGGGAGAAGGGGUGCUCUUUAGGGUUAACGCCCAGAAGAGCCGCAGUGAAUAGGCCCAAGCGACUGUUUAUCAAAAACACAGGUCUCUGCUAAACCGUAAGGUGAUGUAUAGGGGCUGACGCCUGCCCGGUGCUGGAAGGUUAAGAGGAGUGGUUAGCUUCUGCGAAGCUACGAAUCGAAGCCCCAGUAAACGGCGGCCGUAACUAUAACGGUCCUAAGGUAGCGAAAUUCCUUGUCGGGUAAGUUCCGACCCGCACGAAAGGCGUAACGAUUUGGGCACUGUCUCAACGAGAGACUCGGUGAAAUCAUAGUACCUGUGAAGAUGCAGGUUACCCGCGACAGGACGGAAAGACCCCGUGGAGCUUUACUGUAGCCUGAUAUUGAAAUUCGGCACAGCUUGUACAGGAUAGGUAGGAGCCUUUGAAACGUGAGCGCUAGCUUACGUGGAGGCGCUGGUGGGAUACUACCCUAGCUGUGUUGGCUUUCUAACCCGCACCACUUAUCGUGGUGGGAGACAGUGUCAGGCGGGCAGUUUGACUGGGGCGGUCGCCUCCUAAAAGGUAACGGAGGCGCUCAAAGGUUCCCUCAGAAUGGUUGGAAAUCAUUCAUAGAGUGUAAAGGCAUAAGGGAGCUUGACUGCGAGACCUACAAGUCGAGCAGGGUCGAAAGACGGACUUAGUGAUCCGGUGGUUCCGCAUGGAAGGGCCAUCGCUCAACGGAUAAAAGCUACCCCGGGGAUAACAGGCUUAUCUCCCCCAAGAGUUCACAUCGACGGGGAGGUUUGGCACCUCGAUGUCGGCUCAUCGCAUCCUGGGGCUGUAGUCGGUCCCAAGGGUUGGGCUGUUCGCCCAUUAAAGCGGUACGCGAGCUGGGUUCAGAACGUCGUGAGACAGUUCGGUCCCUAUCCGUCGUGGGCGUAGGAAAUUUGAGAGGAGCUGUCCUUAGUACGAGAGGACCGGGAUGGACAUACCUCUGGUGUACCAGUUGUCGUGCCAACGGCAUAGCUGGGUAGCUAUGUGUGGACGG